rnacentral:tRNA from 1 species
GACCUGCUAGUUCAGCCCGGUUAGAAUGCUCGACUGAUAAUCGAGUGGUCCUGAGUUCAAAUCUCAGGCAGGUCA